UGCAAGUCGAACGGCAGCGUCGAGAGAGCUUGCUCUCAUUGGCGGACUAGUGGCGGACGAGGUGAGUAAUAUAUCGGAACGUGCCCAGUAGCGGGGGAUAACUACUCGAAAGAGUGGCUAAUACCGCAUACGCCCUACGGGGGAAAGGGGGGGAUCGCAAGACCUCUCACUAUUGGAGCGGCCGAUAUCGGAUUAGCUAGUUGGUGGGGUAAAGGCUCACCAAGGCAACGAUCCGUAGCUGGUUUGAGAGGACGACCAGCCACACUGGGACUGAGACACGGCCCAAACUCCUACGGGAGGCAGCAGUGGGGAAUUUUGGACAAUGGGGGAAACCCUGAUCCAGCCAUCCCGCGUGUAUGAUGAAGGCCUUCGGGUUGUAAAGUACUUUUGGCAGAGAAGAAAAGGUAUCCCCUAAUACGGGAUACUGCUGACGGUAUCUGCAGAAUAAGCACCGGCUAACUACGUGCCAGCAGCCGCGGUAAUACGUAGGGUGCAAGCGUUAAUCGGAAUUACUGGGCGUAAAGCGUGUGUAGGCGGUUCGGAAAGAAAGAUGUGAAAUCCCAGGGCUCAACCUUGGAACUGCAUUUUUAACUGCCGAGCUAGAGUAUGUCAGAGGGGGGUAGAAUUCCACGUGUAGCAGUGAAAUGCGUAGAUAUGUGGAGGAAUACCGAUGGCGAAGGCAGCCCCCUGGGAUAAUACUGACGCUCAGACACGAAAGCGUGGGGAGCAAACAGGAUUAGAUACCCUGGUAGUCCACGCCCUAAACGAUGUCAACUAGCUGUUGGGGCCGUUAGGCCUUAGUAGCGCAGCUAACGCGUGAAGUUGACCGCCUGGGGAGUACGGUCGCAAGAUUAAAACUCAAAGGAAUUGACGGGGACCCGCACAAGCUGUGGAUGAUGUGGAUUAAUUCGAUGCAACGCGAAAAACCUUACCUACCCUUGACAUGUCUGGAAGCCCAACAGAUUUGGCCGUGCUCGCAGGAAAACUGAACACAGGUGCUGCAUGGCUGUCUUCACCUCCUGUCCUGAAAUGUUGGGUU
rnacentral:rRNA from 1 species